ACACUCCUACGGGAGGCAGCAGUGGGGAAUCUUGCGCAAUGGGCGAAAGCCUGACGCAGCCAUGCCGCGUGAAUGAUGAAGGUCUUAGGAUUGUAAAAUUCUUUCACCGGGGACGAUAAUGACGGUACCCGGAGAAGAAGCCCCGGCUAACUUCGUGCCAGCAGCCGCGGUAAUACGAAGGGGGCUAGCGUUGCUCGGAAUUACUGGGCGUAAAGGGAGCGUAGGCGGACAUUUAAGUCAGGGGUGAAAUCCCGGGGCUCAACCUCGGAAUUGCCUUUGAUACUGGGUGUCUUGAGUAUGAGAGAGGUGUGUGGAACUCCGAGUGUAGAGGUGAAAUUCGUAGAUAUUCGGAAGAACACCAGUGGCGAAGGCGACACACUGGCUCAUUACUGACGCUGAGGCUCGAAAGCGUGGGGAGCAAACAGGAUUAGAUACCCGUGUAGUCC
rnacentral:rRNA from 1 species